UUCCUCUAAGAGUUUUAUAGUGUCUUGUCUUACAUUUAGGUCUUUAAUCCAUUUGGAGUUUAUUUUUGUGUAAGGAUGGUGUUAGGGAGUGUUCUAAUUUCAUUCUUUUACAUGUAGCUGUCCAGUUCUCCCAGCACCACUUAUUGAAGAGACUGUCUUUUCUCCAUUGUAUAUCCUUGCCUCCUUUGUCAUAGAUUAGUUGACCAUAGGUGUGUGGGUUUAUCUCAGCUGUUAACAUUAUGGGACUUCCCUUGUAUGUUAUUUGGAAGCCCUCCCUUGUUGCUUUUAAUAAGUUUUCUUUGUCUUUAAUUUUUGUCAAUUUGGUUACUAUGUGUCUUGGCGUGUUUCUCCUUGGGUUUUUCCUGCCUGGGACUCUCUGUGCUUCCUGAACUUGGGUGGCUAUUUCUUUUCCCAUGUUAGGGAAGUUUUCCGCUAUAAUCUCUUCAGAUAUUUUCUCAGGUCCUUUCUCUGUCUCUUCGCCUUCUGGGACCCCUAUAAUGUGAAUGUUGUUACGUUUAAUGUUGUUCCAGAGGUCUCUUAGGCUGUCUUCAUUUCUUUUCUCUUUAUUCUGUUCCAUGGCAGUGAAUUCUGCCAUUCUGUCUUUCAGGUCACUUAUCUGUUCUUUUGCCUCCUUUAUUCUGCUAUUGAUUCCUUCUAAUGUAUUUUUCAUUUCAGUUAUUGUAUUGUUCAUCUCUGUUUGUUUGUUCUUUAAUUCUUUUAGUUGUUUGUUCUUUAAUUCUUCUAGGUCUUUGUUAAACAUUUCUUGUGUCUUCUUUUUUUAAAA